CAUCAUAUACCCACUUGUGAGUAUAUAAGGGUGCCGUGGUUGUAACCCACUUUCAGUGGAACACGCCACGUUAAAUAAACAAGGAAAGAUCCUAGACGUCCAAGGGAACGGGCUUGAAAUGAUUAGCGGGGAAAAAAGACCCUUUUGAGCUUGACUCUAAUCUGGCCGUGUAAGGACCCAUAAGAGGUGUAGAAUAAGUGGCCGAUAUUAGACUUCGGUUUGGUAUCGCCAAUGAAGUACCACUACUCUUAUGUUUUCUUACUUACUUGAUUGAAUGGAACGUGUAUCAUUUCCUAGCCAUUAUUCGGAUAUAUUUAUUAUAUCUUAUGGUAUUGGGUUUUGAUGCAAGCUUCUUGAUCAAAGUAUCACGAGUUUGUUAUAUAAUCUCAAACAAAUUCUUUAAUGAGAGAUGCAUUUACUGUAUUAUUGAUUUGAAAAUUUGGUAUAACUCCAAUUACUCAGGUAUGAUCAAAUUCA
rnacentral:ncRNA from 1 species